rnacentral:rRNA from 1 species
UACGUAGGGGCCAAGCGUUGUCCGGAUUUAUUGGGCGUAAAGAGCUCGUAGGCGGUUGGGUAAGUCGGGUGUGAAAACUCCAGGCUCAACUUGGAGACGCCACCCGAUACUGCUCUGACUUGAGCUCGGUAGGGGAGUGGGGAAUUCCUGGUGUAGCGGUGAAAUGCGCAGAUAUCAGGAGGAACACCGGUGGCGAAGGCGGAUCUCUGGGCCAUUACUGACGCUGAGGAGCGAAAGCGUGGGGAGCGAACAGG